GACGAACGCUGGCGGCGUGCUUAACGCAUGCAAGUCGAACGGAAAGGCCCUGCUUUUGUGGGGUGCUCGAGUGGCGAACGGGUGAGUAACACGUGAGUAACCUGCCCUUGACUUUGGGAUAACCUCAGGAAACUGGGGCUAAUACCGGAUAGGAGCUCCUGCUGCAUGGUGGGGGUUGGAAAGUUUCGGCGGUUGGGGAUGGACUCGCGGCUUAUCAGCUUGUUGGUGGGGUAGUGGCUUACCAAGGCUUUGACGGGUAGCCGGCCUGAGAGGGUGACCGGCCACAUUGGGACUGAGAUACGGCCCAGACUCCUACGGGAGGCAGCAGUGGAGAAUAUUGCACAAUGGGCGGAAGCCUGAUGCAGAAACGCCGCGUGCGGGAUGACGGCCUUCGGGUUGUAAACCGCUUUCGCCUGUGACGAAGCGUGAGUGACGGUAAUGGGUAAAGAAGCACCGGCUAACUACGUG
rnacentral:rRNA from 1 species